rnacentral:lncRNA from 1 species
CAGACAGGCAGACAGACAGAGACAGACAAAGACAGACAGUGGCAGACAGGCAAAAACAGAGAGACUGGGGCAGAGAGACACAGAGAUAGAGAGACACAGAGGCCGAGAGAGAAAUAGAAGAAAGUAAGGCAAAGACUUCAGAAGUCACAGGGAAGCGAUAAGUAUUGCCACUGCGAUUCAGGCCCUACUGUGAUUGGUAUCUAUAAUUCCCAUCAUAUGCUGCACAAGCACUGCUUUGCACAGAAUACAGAAUGGUGGUCCAGGGCAUUCUUACAAAUCCAAGGAUGACUGAUGUUGUUCUUCCAGGAGGGAAGCAUGUUGUUAUAGGAUCAUGUAUUCUAACCAUCAAACAGCUAUUGAUCAUUUAGAAAUUGUUAGCGUUCUAUCUGCCCAUGCUUUGAUGGCUUCUUUGCAAUGAACAGUUUGUCCUUCCAGCUAAUGCCAGGUAACAUUCCUCUUUUUAGUUUACAACAUGCUUGUGUUAACUGUGAUGAUCCUAGCUUGCAAUUCCCCAAGCAUCAAGUCUUAUUGAAACAAAGGUAAAACAGACUUCAAGAUCAGAAUGGGAGGCCGUGAGAUGUGCUGAGCUCACAUUUGCCUGGGUUUAUUGGUGCAAUUGAUUUGGAAACAAGGCUCUCAACUCCCUCCCCCAUAUUUGUUUGUUUCUUGUCAGCUUCACACAUGUAUAAUAACUAAUCAGGAUGUCUUGACUUUGGGUUUUAGUAUAAACAUCCAGGAACAAAUUCUUGAGCUGAAUACAACGGAGACACAGGUUGUUUAGCUGAUUCAUCAAUAGCACCUGCUUGUUAUGUGUGUCGUUGAGGCUAAAUGAGAUUCAUACGGCGUGAAUACCGCAAGCACUUGAAAAGCGUUACCUGCCAUGGCUGCUGUUAGUUUUAAUUUACAGCCUCCUAGUAACACGGGUGCCUUUUCAAGCGUAUCUGCCAUCUGCCUAUUAGUGAUGGCGAGGUGUCUGUUCAGCUCCUUUGUCCAUUUAUUAGUUGGGCUCUUCACAUCUUAUCAUUGAAUCUGCGGAUUCUUUGCAGUGUUUGGGCAACCAUACUUAUCAGAUAUGUCAUUUGCAUAUAAUGUGCCCCUAGCUACCCUUUGGUCCAGCGUCUCAUGCUUGAUGAUGCUACUAUUAGCAAAGCACUGUUAAAAUAACAGUACACACUGAAUUACACCCGAAUUUAAUGGUCUAAUGUUUUAAAGGACUUAGGACAGUUGUUGGCACAUGAUUAAGAGCUACACGAGUGUCAGGUAAUAUACAAGUAAUAUUUAAGUAUAAAUACACAAUUUGAUCCCUUCCUACCCAAUUAAAAACUGAUUCUUAGCCACUUCUCAAACUACAUUCUGACUUUCUCCUGAAGGUUCUACUGGACAAUCUUCCUGUGUCCAUGCCUGCUUUAGUUUCUGAUUUUUAGCAUCAGGUCAGCGAAUGGGCAAAAGCUAUUUUUAGUAACUUUUCCUAAAUAUUUUAUUUCUUACAUCUUACACGGGAGCAUCCCUGUCUUUGGAGCACAGUGGAAGGCUGGCUGAAGUGGUAUUUCCUAAGCCAGUCUCUUCCCUCAGCCC